GUCUCAAUAGCUAAGUGGUUAGAUCGCUGUUACGGUACGCCAGAGGCCCUGGGUUCGAGUUCCGGUUGAGAUU
rfam:Crassostrea gigas strain 05x7-T-G4-1.051#20 contig2397, whole genome shotgun sequence.